rnacentral:rRNA from 1 species
UAGGUUAACGAGGCGAACCGGGGGAACUGAAACAUCUAAGUACCCCGAGGAAAAGAAAUCAACCGAGAUUCCCCCAGUAGCGGCGAGCGAACGGGGAGCAGCCCAGAGUCUGAAUCAGCUUGUGUGUUAGUGGAACGGUCUGGAAAGUCCGACGGUACAGGGUGAUAGUCCCGUACACCAAAAUGCACAGGCUGUGAACUCGAAGAGUAGGGCGGGACACGUGGUAUCCUGUCUGAAUAUGGGGGGACCAUCCUCCAAGGCUAAAUACUCCUGACUGACCGAUAGUGAACCAGUACCGUGAGGGAAAGGCGAAAAGAACCCCGGCGAGGGGAGUGAAAAAGAACCUGAAACCGU